GUCGGGGUGUGCCGCAGGUGCAUGGCAGACGGGUGAGUAACGCGUGGGGAAUCUACCUCUUUGUGGGGAAUAACGCUCCGAAGGGAGUGGUAAUACCGCAUGAGACCUAGGACUGGGAUGUUCUAGGUGAAACCCGGGGACCGGUAACGGCCUGGGGCAAGGAGAGGAUCCUGCGUCUGAUUAGCUAGUUGGCGGGGUAAUGGCCCACCAAGGCGACGAUCAGUAGCCGGCCUGAGAGGGUGAUCGGCCACACUGGAACUGAGACACGGUCCAGACUCCUACGGGAGGCAGCAGUGGGGAAUUUUGCGCAAUGGACGAAAGUCUGACGCAGCAACGCCGCGUGGGUGAUGAAGGUCUUCGGACUGUAAAACCCUGUCGUCAGGGACGAAGGUACUUGCGUUAAUAGCGUGAGUGCUUGACGGUACCUGGAGAGGAAGCCCCGGCUAACUUGUG
rnacentral:rRNA from 1 species